ACCUGCCCCUGAUAAGUUAAAUGGCCGCAGUAAUUUGACUGUGCAAAGGUAGCAUAAUCAUUAGUUUUUUAAUUGAAAGCUUGUAUGAAUGGUUGGACGAGAUAAAAUCUGUCUCUAUUUAAUAUAUUUUAGAAUUUAAUUUUUAAGUUAAAAAGUUUAAAUUUUUAUAAAAGACGAGAAGACCCUAUAGAUCUUUAUAUUUUUAUAGAUAAAUUUAAUAAAGAAUAUUUAAUUUUUUAUUUAAGAAAAUAUUUUAUUGGGGUAAUAGAAAGAUUAGUUUAAUUCUUUUUUUUAUUUUAUAUAGAUUAAUAAUUAUUUGAUCCAAUAGUUUUGAUUGUAAGAUUAAGUUACCUUAGGGAUAACAGCGUAAUUUUUUUAAAGAGUUCUUAUCGAUAAGAAAGUUUGCGACCUCGAUGUUGGAUUAAAAAUUAUUCUAGGUGCAGAAGUUUAGAAAUUUGGUCUGUUCGACCAUUAAAUUUUU
rnacentral:rRNA from 1 species